AGAGUUUGAUCAUGGCUCAGAACGAACGCUGGCGGAAUGCUUUACACAUGCAAGUCGAACGAGUACAUUUUACUAGUGGCGAACGGGUGAGUAACGCGUGGGAACCUACCUUGAGGUAAAGAAUAACUGCAGGAAACUGUAGCUAAUGCUUUAUGUGCCCUACGGGGGAAAGAUUUAUCGCCUUUUGAGGGGCCCGCGUCAGAUUAGCUUGUUGGUGAGGUAACGGCUUACCAAGGCUAUGAUCUGUAGCUGGUUUGAGAGGACGAUCAGCCACAUUGGGACUGAGACACGGCCCAGACUCCUACGGGAGGCAGCAGUGGGGAAUCUUGGACAAUGGGGGAAACCCUGAUCCAGCAAUUCCGCGUGAAUGAUGAAGGCCUUAGGGUUGUAAAGUUCUUUUAGUAAGGAAGAUGAUGACGGUACUUACAGAAAAAGCUCCGGCUAACUCCGUGCCAGCAGCCGCGGUAAUACGGAGGGGGCAAGCGUUGUUCGGAAUUACUGGGCGUAAAGAGCGAGCAGGUGGUUCAUUAAGUCAAUCGUGAAAGCUCAAGGCUUAACCUUGAAAUUGCUUUUGAUACUGAUGGACUAGAGUUUGGGAGAGGAUAGUGGAAUUCUAAGUGUAGAAGUGAAAUUCGUAGAUAUUUAGAGGAACACCGAUAGCGAAGGCAACUAUCUGGCCCUUUACUGACACUCAGAAGCGAAAGCUUGGGUAGCAAACAGGAUUAGAUACCCUGGUAGUCCAUGCUGUAAACGAUGAGUGCUAGAUGUUAGAAGUUUACUUCUAGUAUCGAAGCUAACGCGUUAAGCACUCCGCCUGGGGAGUACGGCCGCAAGGCUAAAACUCAAAUGAAUUGACGGGGACCCGCACAAGUAGUGGAGCAUGUGGUUUAAUUCGAAGAUACGCGCAGAACCUUACCAACACUUGACAUGUUCGUCGCGACUCUAAGAGAUUAGAGUUUUCGGUUCGGCCGGACGA
rnacentral:rRNA from 1 species